UGGUGCAUGGUUGUCGUCAGCUCGUGUCGUGAGAUGUUGGGUUAAGUCCCGCAACGAGCGCAACCCUUAUUGUUAGUUGCUACGCAAGAGCACUCUAGCGAGACUGCCGUUGACAAAACGGAGGAAGGUGGGGACGACGUCAAAUCAUCAUGCCCCUUAUGUCCUGGGCCACACACGUACUACAAUGGUGGUCAACAGAGGGAAGCAAUACCGCGAGGUGGAGCAAAUCCCUAAAAGCCAUCCCAGUUCGGAUCGCAGGCUGCAACCCGCCUGCGUGAAGUUGGAAUCGCUAGUAAUCGCGGAUCAGCAUGCCGCGGUGAAUACGUUCCCGGGCCUUGUACACACCGCCCGUCACACCAUGAGAGUCGGGAACACCCGAAGUCCGUAGCCUAACCGCAAGGGGGGCGCGGCCGAAGGUGGGUUCGAUAAUUGAGGUGAAGUCGUAACAAGGUAGCCGUAUCGGAAGGUGCGGUUGGAUCACCUC
rnacentral:rRNA from 1 species